GAUGAAGAACGUAGCGAAAUGCGAUAAGUAGUGUGAAUUGCAGAAUUCAGUGAAUCAUCGAAUCUUUGAACGCAUAUUGCGCCUUCCGGCAUUCCGGAAGGCAUGCCUGUUCGAGCGUCAUUUCAACCCUCGACCUCCCCUUGGGGAGGUCGGCGUUGGGGACCGGCAGCACACCGCCGGCCCUGAAAUGGAGUGGCGGCCCGUCCGCGGCGACCUCUGCGCAGUAAUACAGCUCGCACCGGGACCCCGACGCGGCCACGCCGUAAAACACCCAACUUCUGAACGUUGACCUCGAAUCAGGUAGGACUACCCGCUGAACUUAAGCAUAUCAAUAAGCGGAGGA
rnacentral:misc_RNA from 1 species